UAGGUUUAUCGUAUAGGAAUAUUAAUUCAUAUUAUUUUAUAUUACUUUUUGUUUGAAGUUUAUUACAAGAUUAAUUAAUAUUAAUAUAAAGGGGUGGAGGUUGUUGCUGAGAGCCACACCACGUAUAAAAUGAAUGAUUUAGGCUGUUGGCUGCAUCGACUGGCCGGAUAAUAUUCGAUGGCUUCCAUACGUACGGUGCAGCAGUAGUAUACAGUAUACACCGGCUCACAGGAAAGAAAGAAGAGACGAAGUCAAAGUCAGCAUUUUGGAUUUGAAGUGGCUUUUUUCCCUCGUUUGAAUCAAGUAGAAGUAAGUUUCUCCAAAUGAAGUAGGCUGGCUAGUAAACGUCGUUAAUAACGGCAAGCAACUGAGGUGAGAGGACAUCAUCAGCUCAACUUUGUUUACUGCUAUUCGCCUUCAAUUUCCGUUGGCCACCCUUCUUUUCUUAGGUAACUUGUUUCAUCUCUUUCCUUUUAACAUAAUAUGCUCCUGACUUGGUUAACAAACAGCUGCAAUCGAUCCCUUAGGUUUGUCCGAAAUCAUAAAAUCUAUUCUCUUCGUAUCAAAAGUAAUCGCGUCGUCCAUCUCGUUAGCGGAUUUAACGAAAGUGUCCUCUCGGCGUUAGGCCCACUCCAUCCGAGUAGGAAGCUUAAACCGAACCGAAAAUUACGCCGACUUAAAACUCAAUUUAACUCGGUUGGUUAGGUACUCACAUAACCGGCUGAAAUAACUGGUUGAAUUUUUGGGUUAGUGGUGAGACGUGAAGGAUCUCUACAACGGAUUUUUGUGUAUCGGUUUUUUCCAACCGAUAGUAUAGACGGCACACACACAUUCGGUUUGGAGUAGUCCGAUAAAAAGAGAAACAUUUCGAUAAAAAUAUUUUGCAAGAGUAUUUAGUCCGAUAUGAUAUGAUAUAUCAAUUAUAUUAAUUUUUCAACUUAGAACUUUCAUUCCUGAUCACAUUCGAAAAAAUAAUAAUUGGACAACCCUAAUAAGCAAUAACCGAGUAUUGAAUUAAUAACCGGUUAUUGAGUCCACCCAUUACCAAUUACUCUCUGGUUAGCCAUUCUAGAAUCAAGACAUACAGACUAACAUUAAUAUUUUCGUUUUAGGCAAAUUUCCCACUGAGAAAUAUGAAUCAUGUGUUGUUCAUGCGCAACUCGUAAGUUGUUAGUGCUCUCCGUCCAACCGGCCACUAAAAUGCCGCAUUUCCUCCCACUUUUGCCUACAUUGUCAAGGAUUUUGACGUAACAAGUUCAGUUAUAGGCUUGGUGGGUCACCCCCUGGUUUUAUACACAUAGCAGAGCAUGAAAGCCAAUCAUUUCUGCAAUCAAUGCAGGGCACUUUUAACUAGGACGGUUGACCAGCCAAGCCGUUCACGAGCAAGGGUGAAGACAGCCCGUUGUCAGGAGAGGCUUUCUAUUAAACUAAGGUCUCUUGUAGCGAGCAGCUUGGCAUUCGGCUAAAAAUGCUUUUUUAACGACUUGUCUCGAGUUUAAAUGAGCUAAAUUUGAAUUAGGGUAUAUUUGAUUUGAUAGGCUUGCGAGCUGGCUCGAGCUCAAAAGUCAAUUUGAAUAUUAACUCGAGUAUAAGGUUCGUUAGUAGACUCAAUAACGCUAUAUGUAUCUUUCCCCAAAUACCGAUAUACAAUAUAUCUUAUAUAACUUAUUGUACUAAUGAAAAUGCGAGUGUGAAUUGCUCAAUUAUUCAAUGUUUUUUAGUCUAAAAACUUCAAAUUCAUCUCAAACUAGACUUAUUGGAAGGUUUUAAUAAACAAAGUCCCAACUGAGCUAGAAAUUAGCUCAUCAAGGAUUGUUAACAAGCCGGGUUUGAGCUCGAUGCGACUUAAAAUUUUCUAGCUCGACGCCACAUGCAAAGUUUUCUAGAGGUGCUUAAUGAACCACAUCAUCCCUCGUCGUUUGAUUAAAUACAUAAUGGAAUCCAAUUGCCCGAGCAUCAUUACACAAAAACCGGACAGAUGUAUUUCCACCCUUACUACAUACAUAUCAUUGAUCAACUAUCGUAACAGAUUGAAUGAACACCAAUCAACCAAUCAAUUAGUCGGUUCGUUAAUAGUUUGGUUUAGCCACUAGAAACUGGUGUGCCAGAUUGCUCCAUCACCUUCUCCACAACGCUGGUGCACUUCUGCCAUUCUCUCCGCCGAUUUGCAUAUCCCGCUGCAUGACCAAUCAAACGACGCAGCGCAAGCAUUACCUGCAUCCGCCUUCCACUCACAAUCUACCACAAUCACACACAGUCAUUUCGCAGGAAGAGAGUCAGUAAUUAGCAUGGCAUUAGACUUACACUCUUACCGGGAGGUGAACCGCAGCAGAGGCUUCGAUCAUCGACAUGUUCCACGUCUAGUCCGAUAAACCAUGACCCCAGUGAUACAUCUUCGUUUGCAUAUCUAUGAAGUAUAUGCCUGACAAGGGACAGGACACACAAAUUCACACUAAAGUUGCAUUCAACUCAUCUGAAACCAGGAGCAAUGUAAUCUCCAAAACAUACUCACCGGUUAACAGAAAUGUAGGUGGCCAGAUCUUUCGAAACAGCGUAUAUCUGUCCUGUUGCGUGCCUGAAGUACUUAUUCCCUUCCUCCCCAAACUUCCAGUACUCUGGUUCAUGGUACUUUACACUUCUGCGCUUUCGUUUGUAAUGUUCAUUAGUCAGUUAGGGGUAUGCACACAUCAUAAAACCACAUGUGAGUGAUCAAUAUAUCUAUUUGCUUACUUCUGAGCUAGGACUGGUCCAGAUUUCAUGCAACCUAUGUACACACGGGGUUUCGAUCUGUGACGUGCCAAUGUGGACCCAACCAUACCUGCCAAAUGUUCAUAAAACAAACUGAUACUAUGCAUAAACACAGGGUUUGUGCCGUUUUAUCGGAUCAAGAAUAAAAGUGAACUGACCAAGGUUAAUGUGUACAUCGUCGUCAACUUUUAUGUAGAAGUCGGCAUCCCAUUUGGCAACAGCAGUUGAGAAGUAUAUUUGCGUUUUCGAUGACAGUUCAUGAUAACCUUCUAUGUGAUUCUGCAACAUGAAUGAUUGCAAGCUUGCAUCACUCAGAAAUCAAUAUGUUCUUAUAUGGAAUCGAAAAGGAUGUGUGUACAUACCAGCCGUAGAAAAUCCUUGUACUGGCCUUCUUCAGCAACUAUAGCUCGAUCUAGAAUCCCACCUGAAGAUGCACUGACACCAAAAAAGUUUAAGAACUCAAAACUUCCUCAAAACCAGACAUGUGAUGCUGAAAUUUAAAGUAAAUGGCACCUGUGUCCAAUGACAAACCGCAUGAUUAUACCCUUCUCGGUUUCCAACCUCUUUAAAUCCUGCCCUGGAAUGGAAAAUAGAACACGAAAUAUUCAAUGGACCGACUGUUUACCAGCUACAGGACGCCCACACAAAAAGACAAUGAAGGUUUCACCUUACCUUUGGGCAUCCAUGUCUCUCUUAUUGAGUCUCUUCGCUUUCUGCUGCUAAAUGCAGUCAUUAUACCCAUGACAAAGAAAACCUUUGGCCGAUUCUUCAAAUGCUCAGUUCCUGGUUUUGUCUCAACGAGAGGUUCUUCUUCGUUAGAAGCUUUGGAAGCUCUUGCAGCAGCCAGCUGCAUCUCCAGAGUGGAGAUUGUUUUGUCUAAUGUCCUGCCAAUGUAGUCACACGCAAUCACGACCUCCCACAAUGACCAUUAAGGAGGCAGAAAAAAAGGUGCAACGAACCGUUUAUAAAAGCAUAAUAAAACUUGGUUUAUAGGACUUACAUGAUCAUAUCAUGUGUUUGAGAAACUUGAGAAAGAAUGUCUGUAGUCUCCUGUAACAGUAGAAUAAAACUUUAAAAGUAGUCUAGAUGCAUUGGCUAAACAAUGAGAAAGUAUGCCAUCACUUGAAUACCUUCUUUUCACAGUUAACGGUGGGAUGGAGUAACUUGGACUUAAGCUCCAUGGAUGAACUUCUUUCAUCUACUUUGGCUGAAUCAGGAAAAGGCCAGAACCUGUGGAAGAAAUAAGCCAAUUCGAGACUGAUCAAGGCAUGUUCAGUCCCUUAUCCAUAAAUGUACAUAGAUAAGAUGCUGCAUCCAAUUGAAAUAGUGAACGCUCCUAAUAAAACCUAAUGGCAUGUGAGGAACUACACGGGGCUUAGUUCAGCUGAAAAAAGACCAAAUUUGGGGUUUUCAGUUAUCUUCUGAAGGAGAUGAUUCUUUUUUGUCAUCCUACAUAGAUGAUACUGGUUUGAAGCUCAAACCUAUGUUCAUAACACAUAUUAACCAAUACAAUUUUAUGCAUUAAUGACACCUCAACUUAAACCUACAUUCAGCUUAAUGACUACGAGUCAGAUACCAAACACAUACAAAUCAACAUGUUUCAACAAUAGAACAUUAUUUCCAGAUGCGAUAUCUCAUGGCUUUAAGACUCAAGGAGAUCAGUAUUCAAGUGCAGCUAAAAGGUCUGGAUUUGCAACUUGAUUUCAUUCUUGUCAGGGGGCUCAACACUGCAUGUCUUACUGUGAAGCUUACAUCUUCUCCCCAACCAUUGUACAUUGGACAACACAUUCUUAAAAAGGGAAGGAUAGUGGUUCUAACUUGCAGGGACACAAACAUAUACGUAUCUGAUCCAUGUCACCAUGUGUUUGAUCUGUGCUUCAGAUUCCUCACCUCAAAAUCGGGAAAGGAUUAGGACAGGAUAACUAGAGUCUAGGGUGAAGGAUUUCCAAAUCUGAAGUAACAAUCGUUGGAAAGGAGGAAAAAAAAAAGUUGAUCAAAUCUACUAGGGAACAUGCAGCAAACAGGGUUGCAUCAGUUUCGCCCAAAUCUACUAGACAACGCUGAAAAACCCCAAUCGCAGAAGUCUUAGUAGCAACAAUAAUAAGUAACUCCAAGAUACUGAGAUCUAAGUUGCUGUGAAGUAAGCUAUGUAGUUACCUGUUAACAACAAGGUAGCCCAAGAAGAAGCUGGCAAUGCAGAAGAUGGCGAGCCAUUUGGUGGAAACACCGCUAGUGGGUCUUAGAGGCCUGCUGCCGGACGCCAUCUUUUAAAGUUAUAAUUUCUGAAAAGGCUGCUCCUUUCUAGUAUUCCUUAGUACAAAGUUUAAAUCUUUGUUUAGCUUUGAUGGUGGGGGAAGUGGAGGCCGAGCAAUAGCAGCAGCAGCAGCGACGGCGAGCCCAUGAGUUAGAGGAAAGAGGAAGAAGGAUCGUUGAGGGUGGUGAAAGAAAAGAAAGGUAAAGCGGACAAAAGGCUAUGGAUUUGAAUUAUGAAGCACAAAGUGCCAAAAGAGUAUUAGGCCAAAUUGUAGAGGGCAGGCAGCGGCAGGGGAAAGCAAG
rnacentral:lncRNA from 1 species